UAUUAAAAAUUUCAUCCAUUUGUACAGUUAAAAACUAACGUAAUCAACAGAAUUACCAAACAAUGACACAUGGCGUGCCAUGUGUAUCUGAUACUGACGCACAAGGAUAAACUUUUUACCGUAAAAAUUAAUGGAAUUAAAA
rnacentral:pre_miRNA from 1 species